GAUGAGGAUGAAGAAGAGAUUGAGUAGUCUUGAUGACGAAGAAGAGAUGAGUAUAAUGUGGAUGAAGAAGAAGAGAACUUUGGAAGUUUUAGAGAUGAUGAUGGAGAUGGACAUGGAGACCAUGUUUCUUGAUGAGGAUUGAGUAGUAGUCCUUUAGUUGUUUUAGGUUUCGUUGCAAUUUAGUAAUUAAUUUUGUAGAUUGUAGGAUUUAGUAUUGUCAAGAGGCGCUUGGGUGAGGCGAAAUCUAGGCACCUAGCCUAGAAGCCUCCAGGCAAGGCGUCACUAGGCACCCCUAGGCGAGAAAAAGGCAAGAUAUAUAUAUAUUUUUUUAAAGAAAAGUUGGGACGGAAAAAAUCUAGCCUAAUUUGUUUUCACAUUUUGGCAUACACACGAUGAUUAGAGAAUUAGAAUUUUGAGUUUG
rnacentral:misc_RNA from 1 species